GGGGAAUUUUGGACAAUGGGCGCAAGCCUGAUCCAGCCAUGCCGCGUGCAGGAUGAAGGCCUUCGGGUUGUAAACUGCUUUUGUACGGAACGAAAAGACUCUUUCUAAUAAAGAGGGUCCAUGACGGUACCGUAAGAAUAAGCACCGGCUAACUACGUGCCAGCAGCCGCGGUAAUACGUAGGGUGCGAGCGUUAAUCGGAAUUACUGGGCGUAAAGCGUGCGCAGGCGGUGAUGUAAGACAGAUGUGAAAUCCCCGGGCUCAACCUGGGAACUGCAUUUGUGACUGCAUCGCUGGAGUGCGGCAGAGGGGGAUGGAAUUCCGCGUGUAGCAGUGAAAUGCGUAGAUAUGCGGAGGAACACCGAUGGCGAAGGCAAUCCCCUGGGCCUGCACUGACGCUCAUGCACGAAAGCGUGGGGAGCAAAC
rnacentral:rRNA from 1 species